rnacentral:rRNA from 1 species
AGAGUUUGAUCMUGGCUCAGGACGAACGCUGGCGGCGUGCCUAACACAUGCAAGUCGAACGAUUCGAUUUCGAACUUCGAUCUUCGAAUUUCGAAUAUCGAAUAGUGGCGGACGGGUGAGUAACGCGUGGGUAACCUACCCAUAAAGCUGGGACAACCCUUGGAAACGAGGGCUAAUACCGGAUAAUCUUAAGAAGUGGCAUCACUUCUUAAGAAAAGGUGGCCUCUGAGUAUGCUGCCGAUUAUGGAUGGACCCGCGUCUGAUUAGCUGGUUGGUGGGUAAAGGCCUACCAAGGCGACGAUCAGUAGCCGGCCUGAGAGGGUGAACGGCCACACUGGGACUGAGACACGGCCCAGACUCCUACGGGAGGCAGCAGUGGGGAAUCUUCCGCAAUGGACGAAAGUCUGACGGAGCAACGCCGCGUGUAUGAUGAAGGUCUUCGGAUUGUAAAGUACUGUCUUUGGGGAAGAAUGACGGAUUUGAAAAUAUUGAGUUCGUAUGACGGUACCCAAGGAGGAAGCCCCGGCUAACUACGUGCCAGCAGCCGCGGUAA